GCCAGGGGAGGGGACGGCUGCUGUUCUGGACAUGCUCUAUUUGUGACGUCUGUUAAUGAAUAAUGGAGCAAGGGCAGGAUCUGAGCGGGAGAGGUCGGCGGAGGAGGAGGAGGCCAGGGAGGUCUGAGAAGAGAUGAAAACAGACCCAACAGGAGUCUCAGAGAGAGAGGAAGCAAAUUCAACCAGGGAAGUGGAAUCAGGCUUCUGGGGAGCAUUAGAUGUCUCUCUUUUUUUAAAAUUUGUGGCCACCAAGAUAAGGUGAAGCAGAGCAGCCCGGGUGGGCGAUGUCCUCCUGUAACAUUCAACUGCAGGGUACAGACUGAUGGUCCGCUCCCACCAGUAAUGAGCUUUCCUUCCACGUGAAGAAAUAAAAAGAGAGUGGAGGAACAUUUUGAAUCAUGUCAUCGUAGGAUAUGGAAUCUGCACUGGGUAAGAUGGUUGGAUAAAAAUUUAAUAAGGUCAAUGAACUACAGCAGCUGUAUCCAACAUGGUAGCCACUAGCUACGCGUGGCCAUGGACCACUUGAUAAGCGGCUGGUCUAAAUUAAACUGUGUCAAGUGUACAGUACAGGUGGAUUUCAAAGGCAGUCUGGAAAAAAAAUGUGUACAGUAUCUCAUUAAUAAUUUUUAUAUUGAUGGCACGUGGACAAUAAUGUUUUAGUUCUAUUGGAUUAAAUAUAUUGCUAAAAUUAAUUUUAAUAGCUUAUUUUACAUUUCUUGAUCUGUGUUUUGUUUUGUUUUGGUACCAGGGAUUGAACCCGGAGUGCUCAGCCACUGAAUCAUAGCCCCAACCCUUUUUAUUUUGAAAUAGGUUGCUUAGGUCCUCACUAAGUUGCUGAGGCUGACCUUACACUUGCCAACCUUCUGCCUCAGCCUCCCCAGCUGCUGGGAUUACAGGUGUGAGCCACCACUUCCAGCUUAAUGUGACUUUUAAAUGGCAUAUAUAUAUAUAUGGCUUGCAUAUAUUUCCAUUGGGUGAGGGUGAACUAAAGGUCUCACUAAGUACGGAUGUGGCUUGGAGCAAAGGUAUUUAGUCAGAAAAUGGGACACUUGAAAUCCAGAUCUCAGAGACUGAAUAGUCACCAGCAGUUGUGAGGUCCAAGGUGUGGCGGUAGGACAGAGUGGUGAAGUAGUGGGGGAACAGAUGGUGGCUGGGUGGGAAGGCCAAGGAACGAGGACGUCGAUUUUGGCUGAGUUGUCUGUGAGCACUGAAAACACCCAGGAUGAUGAGACGGGUACAGUGGGCAGAACAUAGCCACAGGAGGGCACCGGACUAUCUAAUGGUUGACGGGACAAAGGAUGAUCUCUCUGAGGAGCAGCUGAGGCCACAGCUCUUCUGUCCAAUAUGGCGGCCGUGGAGUGCUUGCAGGACGGCUGGUCCGAACUCAGGGGAACCUGAGGGCUUUACAUGGAAGGUUUCUGGGAUGUUUUAAGUAAAAGGAGGGGGAACAUUUUGAAAGUGACAAGGAGAGCUCUGGGGUGCAUUUGAGAAGACUGAACAAGAGGCGCAGGGCCACUGGGUUUAAUCUAGGACAAGAGAAUAAAAGACCAUGUUUGGGAAAGACAUUGAAAAUAUCAGGAUGUUUGCUGGCUGCAGAAUGGGAAUUCCAGAGGCACCUAAGGAAUGUUUGAGAAGAGAACUGAGGGGGACACAGGCAUCAGUGCAAUAAGGGAUGCAGAGAGCUCCAGGCUCUGAGAUUCGGGGUGGUGCCAGAGGCCCUAGAAGACCCAGACUUCUGGAGGUGAGCAAUCAGACGUGUGUGGCACGAGGACACAGGUCCUGCUAGUCUUUUAGAGGCCAGUGAGAAAACAGCAGAAGCCAAAGUCCUGAACACUUAGUGCGACGUUUUGGAAGCAAGGUGACAGUCCCCUGGCACCUGCCAUCCUCGUUGAUCCCAAGAGUUAAAGUCACAGUAAUUAAUACUGACAUUUUUUUUUUCAAAGAGAAUACUUACGGUAAUAAGAGGUACCAGAAAUAAUUAGAACUUGCAAUGAUGUUGCUGUUGUGAAGCGGGAUACAGAAAAGGCUUUCAUUUGACCAGAUCAAUGAGGAAAGAUAUUGGAAACAAUGAGUGAGAAAGUCUGAGUGUGUCAGGAAAAUGCUGCUGGUGGAGAGUUUAAGAAUGCUUACCCAGGAAAAAUUUGCUCACAUAGAGAUCUAUUUUUUGUGCAGUGUUAUUUUAAUGAUAUACGGAGAUUGGUUGAUGCUCUGGAAGGACAGUGGAGGGAUCGACAGUCGUUAACUAGUUAACGAGGCCACCAACAGGAAUUAAUUAAAGGGGAAUCUGUGUUAUUGGUAUUACAUAUUUCUGUGAUGUCAUCAUUUCUAUAAUGUGUAUAUAUUGCUUUUGUAAACUGAAAAUACGCAUAUAGAGAAGAUAUGCACUUCUGAAACAGGAAAUAUACAUGUUUGUGUAAAAUGUGCAACUACAUAUAAAUCCUUUAAAAGGGUUAGGGGUUUCAGACAUAAUGCAGGAAUUGACAAGUUUUUGUUUGUUUGUUCUUUGUUUUUUCGGGGGGGGUUACGAGGGAUUGAACUCAGGAGGACUUCACCACUGAGCCACGUCUCCAGCCCUUUUAAGUUUCCAGCCCUUUUUAUAUUUUAUUUUAAGACCGUGCCUUGCUAGACUGCUUAGAGCCUCGCUAAGUUGCUGAGGCUGGUUUUGAACUUGUGAUCCUCCUGCCUCAGCCUCCUGAGUCGCUGGGAUUCUAGGCGUGCGCCACCACACUCGGCUGACAGUUUUCAUGGUAAAGGUCCCAUGUGUUAGUCAGGGUUCUCUUGAGAAACAGAAUCAACAGAAUGUACACAUAGUUAUAAAAAGGGACUUACUAGAUUGGCUUACACAGAGGCUGCCGAGUCCCGCAACCUGGAGAGUCAGGGAACCCAGUGGCCGCUCAGUCCAAGAUCCUGGAAACCUCAGAAGAAGAGAGACCCAUGACAAAGGCCCGGUCUGAGGCUGAAGGCCUGGAAACUCCUUGGAGAGCCUCAGGCCUGAGUCCAUGGUCAAAGGCUGAAGAACCUGGAGUCUAAUGUCUGUGGUCAGUGGCUGCAGCAAAAACCCAGGUGCUCAAGAACUGACUACACCUGAAUGAGCUUCCUCCUGCUGCUGCUGUUUGUUCCCCUGGACCCCCAGACUACUGAAUGGUGCCUUCCACGUUCAGCUCGCCUACCCACAUGCCCAUCAAUCAUCUCUCAAACGCCCUCACGGCACACCCAGACAUGUGCUUUGCCAGUUUUCUAGGGUCUCUCAAUGCACUCAAAACUGACAAUCAAGAUUAGCCAUCACAGCAGGGCACGGUGGCGCAUGCCUGUCAUCCCAGCAGCUCGGGAGGCUGAGGCAGGAGGUUCGCAGGUUCAAAGCCAGCCUCAGCAAAAGCAAGGCGCUAAGCAACUCAGUGAGACCCUGUCUCUAAAUAAAAUACAAAAUAGGGCUGGGGGUGUGGCUCCAUAGUCAAGUGUCCCUGACGUCAAUCCCCGGUACCCUCCCCCCCCCAAAAAAAAACCCUCAAGAUUAGCCAUCACACCCAAGUAGUAAAUAUUUUAGGUUGUUUGGGCCAUAUAGCCUCUGUCACAAUGACUCAACUCUGUCAUCAAAACACGGACGCAGUCAUAGUCGGUGUAUAAAUGAAUGAGCAUGGUUCCAACAAAAUUCAUUUGGAUGAAAAAGACAGCAAGCCCGAUUUAGCCCACAGGGCAUGGCUUGUCGGCCACCUAAAUAAUAAAUACACAGAGUGAAAUAGCCAGUUGAAGGGAAAUAACAAGACAAAAAGAACAGGCAUCUCUCGCGUACGUUCAGUAAGAGUCAUUCAGUGUGAUCUCGGGUGCAGUUUGUGCCGUAUGUUUUAAAUUUUCCAGAGAAUUAAAACAAUGAAAAGCAAAGCAGAAACAACAAUUUCAGACAGACAUCCUAGACUGUCUGGCCAUCUACAUUAUCCAUAAAACUGACCUUGGAGCUCUUUUGAGGUCAAGGCAAAGAGGGAAUCAGAGUUUCCCAACAUCCCAUCCAUUAGUUGAAUGUCAAGAGAAUCUUAUUUUUCCCUCUGGGUCUUUAUUCAGGGUGGGGUGAUCAACUCACCUCUCUUUUCCUGGGACUUUCCCAAUUUUACAUUGGAAGUCUCUUGUUGGGGGGAAACCCUUCCAGUCUUAGUUUUAACUCCAAGUCCUGGGUUCCAAGAACUCUCUCAGCCCUGGGAAAAUUAAAACCGUCUGUCACCCCAACCAAUUAAGGAACACUGAGCAAUGCAAGGGAUGAGUCCUCAAUAAUAGUGCUUAUUUGGUUUGGGGGAGGGGUUGGUAUCUUGCAGCGCUAGGGAUUGAAUCAAGGACUUUACACAUGCUUGGUAAGUGCUCUCCCACCCUGGUGCACUCCCAGUCCUCAAUAACAAUGUCUAUAAAAAGCACAGAGUUAUUUUGCAUGUCCUUUGCUUACGUGAACCCAAAAUGAUGACCAAUGUACCAUCUGUCCAAUGUUCAAAUAUUUAUUGAAGGCCUACCUUGUACUAAGAACUGUAGAUACUAAGGUAAAUACAAUAUUUACUUUUCCUAUCCAGAGUCGAGAACCCAACACUCCCUGUUACUCCUUCCUUGGCACCGUGGGUCAGGGACAGGCACCGUUUGUCAAUACACCUGUCCUGUUCUUUUGUUCGAAUGUAGACAGUUUCAUUUAUUCAUGUGAAGUCGGUAUUCCCACUGAGUUAGUUACCCCCUGGUUUUGUCAAUACGCUAAGUAGUCUCCUGGUGACCCACGGGGUUCAAAGACAAGUCCCGAUUCUUAGGGGGCCCAGUACUCUCUAUAAACAAGCUGGCAGGGACUUGAGUUGUAACGUCACCUGGGAGAUGGUGUCCCCAAUCCUCAUAUAGUUUCUACCAACCCUGUGUCAUUCCGUGCCCUGUCAUGCUCAGCCGACAUUCUAUAUCCUGGUUCCUUCCCAUGAACCCCACAUUGCUCUUUGGGGGACACUCACCAUCUUUAUUUAAUCAGCUAUCUUACUAGACCAUCAAUUCCACAUGAGCUGUUCUGUCUCCUGCCAGAUACAAGGCCCCUGCAACCAUAGGUUCUCAAUAAAUGCUGCUGGAUGCGCGUAGAAAGUGUCCAUCCUUCAUCCAAGACUCAUCCAUCCUCCUGAUGCUUACUCACCCUUCCUCCAAGUGUCCUUGACAUUGUGAGGGUCUUCCCCCAAACUGGCAUCAAGAGAUCACUUUUAUUUCCCCCCAGGGAAGGGGAAGCUUAAGUAUGCUAAGAUAAAAGGGGUUGUUAGACAUGGCAGGCAGAAUUCUAAGCUGAUUUUCUGCUCAAAUCCCUAGGACUCCGAAUAUGAUGUCAUGCCAUGUGUUACCUUGGGUGGCAAAAGGGAUUUUGCAGCUGUGACUCCCGUUGCUUGUGAAUUGACUCUGAGUCGAGUGAAGGGGAGGGUACCCUAUGGGCCCCACAGAAUCACAUGAACCCUUUAAAAGCUGAGCAUUUUCUCAAGUUAGUGGCAGAAACAUAAGUUAGAGAGAGUCAAAGGAUGAAUAAGAUGGAGGACACCAUUACUGACUUUGCAUAUGGAGAGGCCACGUAUGAGGACUGGAGAGUGACAUCCUGGAAGUGACAGGUGGCCCAGCUGGGGAACAGCAUCCUGGAGGUGGGAGGGACCUCAGUCCUACACCCACAAGCACCUAAAUUUCUCCCAACCACAAGAACAAUCUUGGAUGCAAAUUCUUCCCCAAAGCCUUCAGAUAAGAGCCCAGCCCGGCUGAUGCCUUGAUUUCAGCCUUAUGAGACCCCAAGUAGAGAAUCUAGCCAUGCCCACCCCAAAUUGCCCAUCUACAGAACUGCAAGAUAAUAAGCAGGUGCCAUUUUGCGCUAAGCUUCUGGUAACUUGUUACACAGUCAUCGAAAACUAAUCGCACAGCUUGUCACCGCCGGGCUCUGCUUAACAGACAAGGAGAUACAGGAUGACCACGGGGUGGAAAAUGGCCCCCACCCGGAGAUCAACAACCGGUCAGCACAGGCCAGGCAUGUUUGUUCCAGAACUGCUGCCCAUUUGUUGUGUGCGCCCACGUCCCCGAGGCUGGUCAAUGUUCCUUUUGAAGCCCGCUCCCCGGGAGGCAGCCCGGGUACCAAUGUGCAGCCAUGUCUGCGGGGAGAGGACUUGGAAGGAAAUGCAUCGAAAUGGACAGCACUGGGGGACAGGGGACACAGUCUAAGACGGGGACUGCUGAGGUCUGUGACAGUUUAAGAGGAUCCUGGGUCCCAGGAGUGUCCCAGGAGCUUUGCUAACUCCCAGGGCUCUGCGGUGCUGAGCACGCCACAGGGUGGUUAUGUAAAGGAAACGUCCCCAGGCCUCACCGGCCUCGGGGCACGAAUGAGGUGGCGUCAGCAUUUAUGCCUGUCACUCGCUUGCUCAGACCCCCGUUGACUGCAUUAGUUAGGGCGCAGGAUGAGUUGCUGAAACAGCCGCACGCACUUUGCAGUCUGAGCAGAAUAAAAGUGUAUUUCUCUCUCAUGUAACAUCCCAGGGGUGGAUGGUGGACCUGCCUCAGUUAUGGGGAUGGAUGGCAAUCCCCCUCCCCCCCACUGAACUGCUAAGCUGGCCUGUGCCCUGGAGGGACACCCAUUGGCUACACGGGGAGGCAACUCUGCUCCACAAUGUCACUCGGGGUCCCAGGGUCCUUUGACCUUGUUGCUCCACAUUGCAUUGAGAUGCUGCUCUCACCCACAGCCCGUGCACCACCACCACCCAGUCCACGGCCAACCCCCAGAGAGGGGCAUCAGAGGAAGUAAAACCAAACCAUUUCCUUUAAGUGGUGACCCUUCACUUCCGCUCACAUUCCAUUGGCAACAAGACGACCACACCAGUUGCAAGGGAAGCGGGAAGUGUAAUUGCCACUGGAUACUCAGCCUUCCGGAGUCCUAGGACAAUAAGGAGUCUCUGCCAUGGCACCACCUCAAGUUUUGCUGGGAGUCUAUGGGAGAUGUGUCAUAGGCGCUUGGACACCACCCGGGGACCCCAGGCCCCUGCGCACCAGCCAUGUAUGCUGUGGCAGCCUCAGCAGACAGAGCACUGCCCUGGCCAGAGGCUGUGCUCCGGGGCUCCGCAUCGUGACUGUCUUAGUUGGGAUCCCUCAAUGCAGAGCUGGAGGCAAAACUCGGGUGCCUGUAUGGUAUUUGAAAAGUGAUGUCAAAAUGUAGGAAUUGUCAGGUCGGUCGGUGACUUAGGAACAAAGCACCAAGCAGCCCGCGUAGGCAAAAGAAACACCAAUCAGGCACCAAUGGAACCGCCUGUCAAUCAGCAGGAUCUCCCGGCCAAUCCUGGAUCUUAGCCAGCUCCCUCUGACCAACCCCAGUAGGACAAGGGACUCUAAAAACCCCUUUUCCUGUCCCAAGGGCUCCCUGCAUGCCCUAAGCCCAUACAAAUUCCAGUCCAGUCCAGCCCCAGAGCACUUCUCAGACCCUCUUCUCACGCUCCUGGUCUAAGGGUUUCUCCUGGGAGUGGAGUCUCAAUAAAACCUCGUUCAGCGGCCUUUUAAAAUCUGCCUCCUUUUGGUCACCGUUGCCUGACCUUACAGGAGUGAAAAAAGAAAAGAGAAGAAGAGGGAAGGAGGCAAAGUCAAUACAUUGUGGGUUAUUGACCUGCCUUGGUCCAUUUUCUCUUGUUAUAACAAAAUACCGGAGACCAAGUAAUUAUAAGGAAAAAAAGGUUUAUUGAGCUCAUGCUUCUAAAGGCUGGCAAGCCCACGAGCUUGGUGCCAGCAUCUGGUAAGGGUCUUCCUGCAGCAGCAUAAUGUGCAGAGGGCAUCACACAGUGAGACAGAGCAAGCCCGGCCACUAAUGCCACCACGGGGUCCCCACUCUCAGGAUCUGAACCAACCUAAUUACCUCCCUAAGUCCCCGGCAAAUGCCAUUGACAUGUAACUUUUGGGGAUUCCUUUUCUAACAUGUGAACCUUUGGAGGACACCUUGUGUGCAUGAGGACCCCUCACCAGGGCUGCUGUGAGGUCUGACAACGGCUGAGGGGUUGGGGUGUGAGGUACCGAAACCAAUACCAACCCUCAAGUUCAAGAGAGGGGCUGGGCAAGGAAGCGCCCGCCUGUCAUCCCAGCGGCUCAGGAGGCUGAGGCAGGAGAAUCGUGAGUUCAAAGCCAGCCUCGGCCACUUAGAGAGGCUAGAAGUAACAUAGCAAAACCCUGUCUCCAGGAAGGGCUGAGGAUGUGGCUCAGUGGUUAAGCACCCGAGGGUUCAAUCCCUGGCACCUGAGACCAAGUAAUUAUUAAGGAAUAGAGGUUUCUUUAGCUCAUGAUUCUGAAGGCUGAGAAAUCCAAAAGCAUGGAUAUAGAGAUACAGAAAUGAAACACGCGUUACUAAAAACACAAAGGAUAUACUUCUGUCCCUCAGGUUCACACCCCCUCAGUCCAUGGGGCUGGCCUGAGGACACAGUGUCCUCUCUGCUCUGAUCCUGGAGAUGAAUCCUUAAAAUGUCCUUAUCGCAGUCCCCUGUCUGCAUGCCACUCACUCCUCCAAAUAAUGCCCCGGAGUCCCGGGCUUCGGUAUCCAACCUUAGAUUAGGCACAUCCCUGAAUACCCCCCAAAAGUUACCCAUUAACGUGUCUGUCCUGUGGAGAUUAGAUUAAUUAAUCAAGAAGCAUUGUUUGGUUCUCAAUGAACUUUAGCUAUUAUUAUUAUUAUUAUUAUUAUUAUUAUUAUUAGCGUGUGGGCUUAUGAACAAAGGCCGGCCACCAAGAACAGGCUGUACGUGAAACCAAAGCUACCAUUGGGGGUUGGGGGCGUGGCCGGAGGUAGAGUCCAUGCUUAGCACACACGAAGGCCCUCGGUUCAAUCCCCAGCACCCAGAAAAAAAGAAAGGAGGACAAACAGCUCAUAUUAUUUUAGUCUGAGAUUUGAGAUUCCAUAGUUAUUAAAGAGUGGGGCCAAGAUUUGAACCCAGGCGUCCUGAUCCCAGGUCUAGGGUCUGAGCCAACAUGGCCUGCCCCCUCUCCUGGGGCACUCACAGGGGACAUUCAUUAUUUCAUAAUGUGACACCCCAGGAUGAUUGCUCAGGGGCCAGAAGGGUCACUGUUGGAAUUCUCCACCAAAGCAGGCCCUCCGGGACAGCCUCUCUCUCUGUCCUCCACCCUGAACAAGGCAGACCCGGCACAGAAGAGACCAUCUCUGCACUUCCCAUUGCCAAGCCCUGAGAGCACCCCAACAGAUGGAGAGGGCUGGGCGGCGGGAGGAGGUCGGGGCCUCAGAGAACACUGAAUAAUGGCCCGGGAGUUUCAGGGCGGUGGAAGGAGUGAUUUCAGCCUCGUUAGCUUUUUAGGACACUGCAAAGGAAUUGGAAUGAGUGGGGUGGGCAGGUGCGGGGAGCAGCCGCUGGGUCUGCAUGGCCGCCCGACCACCUGCAAAGGGGGAGAGCAGAGAAGGGAGCUCGUUAACUGUCCCCGGAUCAUUGACUCAGGGUCCCCAGGGGCACAAUCACUGAGUUUGGACUUUUUCAUUUUGUUAGGUCUCUGUUGGGGGGUCCCCAGGGGCCUCCAGCCCGGCCCCGGGCUCUCAUCUAAGGCAGGCGGUGGUAUAAGCAACCCCUCCAGAGAGAAGGAUCUAGUAACCGUUGUUUGGAAGAAUAACCAAGUGGCUGCUGAUGGGAUGCACUCUCUGCUCAGGUGGGGAAACUGAGGCUGGGGCUCAGAGAGUUUAAUUAACUCGCCCAGUUUGCAAGCGGCAGAGGCAGAGACCCAAGCAAGCCUGUCUGGAUGCCCCAGUCCAUAGUCUUGACCAUGACACUGUAGGACCGAGGACAAGCUUCUCUGGGGCAGUGAGGGCAUCCAGGAGUGUUCUGAGCGGGACCGAGGGGCAGGCAGAAGGGGGUGAGGCUGGAGGAAACCCUGCCAGAGAGCAGGGGUUGUUCAACCAUCCAUCGUUUGGAAAUUGUCUUCAUCUGUAUUGAUCUAGAACCUUCUAUUUGUCAGGCCCUGGAGGUGCAGGGACAAAUGGAAGAAACUGAGUCCCAACGUCCGUGGAGAAAGGAGUAUUAACACCAGUGCCCAAGGAUCUCGGAAGGAAAUAGAGGAGGCUGCAUACGUGGCGGUGACCCAGGCUGCGGAGCAGUCAGGGAAGGACAUUUUCCUGGAGCCAGGGUGGUCACCAGACAAAGCAAAGGAACAGCAAAAUCCCUAAGCAAGGACUUGAUACCUUCAAGACCUGGAAGAACCAGAGAGUCCAGUGUACGGAGGGAGGUGAGGGGCCAUGAUGAGCGAACGUCACAAAGGUGACCCCCGGCCCCAAGGCUGAGUGAGACGUCCCUUCUCUGCGUCUCAUAUUUAGCAAGUUCUCGAGUUCCUGGUCUGGUGGGCACCAGUCUCUGAGCUUCAGAUGCCUGGCACGGGUCCAGGCACAGAGCAAACUGAUGCUCACUUGACAGAUCUGACGUGAGCCCCCAGGAGAACGUGGCAACUGUGAGCAGAGUCUGGGUGACAGCCCCUGUGGCCUCCCAACCGUGGGGAACAAGUUAACUCGGCUGUCAACAAUGAGAUAAGAGCUUACCUCUGGGUUAUGAGGGGAACGCAAGGCUUCUCCCUGAGGGCUGGGGGCCACGUCAUGGCUGCGCCAGAGUCAGGCAAAAUUCUGUCCCCUCUUCCUCAAGGGCCAUGCGGCUUUCUUGCUUGCCCCUUUCAGGACUUAAAUCUGACCUUAGGGCUGGGCACAGUGGCACAUGCCUGUGCUGUAAUCCCAGUGGCUCUGUGCUGCAGUCCGGCUGCAGCAAAAUAACCGGGGGGUGACGAACAACUUGUGUACGUUGAUACAGCAGGAGUGGGAGCCGUUUAUUGUAGGACAGGAGCGAUAUUUAUACAUUCCACACAGCUUAUCUAAUUAACAUAAAAUAGAUACAGCAGUCAACCAAUCAGGAAUCUCCACACUUAAUGGCUCGCUGGCUCCACCUCACAAACCACUCCCCCUGGCAAAAUGCCAGGAGCCAUCCAGACUUGUUUACAGACCUUAACAGCUCUGGAGGCUGAGGCAGGAGGAUCUUGAGUUCAAAGCCAGCCUCAGCAAAAGCGAGACUAUAGGCAACUCAGUGAGACCCUGUCUCUAAGUAAAAUACAAAAUAGGGCUGGGGAUGGGGCUUAGUGAUUGCAUGCCCCUGAGCACAAUCCUUAGUAUAAAAAAAAAAAAAAAACUUCUGACCUUCUGGAAAGUCCUCCCUGAUCACUCAGCCCCGGGAACUUCUAUGCCCAUUCCCCGCAGAGCCCUUAUCUCUCUUACCAUGCCAUGCAGCUUGCAUAUCUUCUCUGUUUAUUCCCUGUUUCCCCAUCACCUGAAUGUGAGCUCCACAGAGGCAAAGGGGUUUGCUUAUUUGUUAGCUGCUGUGCUCAAUAAACCUUUGUUGCAUGUUUAUUGAAUGAAUAAAGGAUACCAGAGCCAGACGACUCGGGAGGCUGAACAAGGAUCAUCAUGGGGCAUGAGCCAACACAGCAGCAUCCCUAGAAUAAGACUGUUUCUGUUUCAAUAAACAUAUUCAUUCAACAUUUCCUAAUUUGCACCUCCAGAAGAAAGCCAUCU
rnacentral:lncRNA from 1 species